ensembl:lncRNA
GUCUUUGUCUCUUGACUCAAAAGCUGACACAUACGUAACGGCGAUAUGUGGACAAGACGUGGUUCUUCGCUGUCAGGAUACUACAGCGAGUCCAGUUACCCUGGUGGAGUGGCGGAAAUCAACCGUAUCCAGUUGUUACCUGUACUUCUUUCGAAAUCUACGUUCUGUACGACAACUACCAAUGUGACAUGUUUAAAGGCCGAGUGAAGCUGCUCGAGCCGUCCGUGGGAAACGGAAAACUGGUCUGUGAUUCUAAGGAACGUCAGUGUAGCCGACUCAGGGCUAUAUACGUGUGAGCUUACAGCCAGAAACACAACAACUGGCCAGAUUGACGUAUCCGAGGGACGUGUCAACCUCACAGUCUCAGAGCUCACAACGGCUCCUUUUUCACACUCUCCACAACCUAGAGGCCGCCCUGGUAUAAUAGCAGCCCUGAUCCUGUUGCUGACCGUCAUCGCCGUGUUGUGUGGUGUAGUGUGGAUCCGCGCAAACCAAAAACACAAGACCCCUGAGGGCAAAACGUGUUCCAAUGUAUGAGUCUGACCACGUAAUGAAAUGUAUCUGUACCAAGGGUUUUGCAGAGGUACUUGUUGGUAUCAUGUAUAAAAAAAAAUAAAGACACUGUGCUGC